CCACCAUGAGCUGGCUGGAGGAGAACGUCCACGAGGUUCUGCAAGCAGUGGACGCCGGGGACCCAGCCGUGGAAGCCUGUGAGAACCGGCGGAAGGUGCUCUACCAGCGUGCACCCAGGAAUAUCCACCGCCAUGUGAUCCUCUCUGAGAUCAAGGAAGCCGUCGCUGCCCUGCCCCCGGACGUGACCACGCAGUCUGUGAUGGGGUUUGAUCCUCUGCCUCCUUCGGACACAAUCUACUCCUACGUCAGGCCAGAGAGGAAGGGAGAGGAGGAGAGGAACAGUGUUAUUUGGGGGUCACAGCUCUGCGUUUGCAGGCCACGUUCUUUCCCAUCUCCACCGAACGUAUGAGCGCUUGCGUGUCGGCCUCUGUGGCAGGUGCGAGUGACACAGUGGAAGCAGGUGUGCAGUGAAGUGGGGAAAACAUAUUAAUUUUAGAAUCUAGAAAUAAACAUAAAAUCAAAACUGC
rnacentral:sRNA from 1 species